rnacentral:rRNA from 1 species
UACGUAGGGUGCAAGCGUUGUCCGGAAUUAUUGGGCGUAAAGAGCUCGUAGGCGGUUUGUCGCGUCUGCUGUGAAAACUCGGGGCUUAACUCCGGGCCUGCAGUGGGUACGGGCAGACUAGAGUGCGGUAGGGGAGAACGGAAUUCCUGGUGUAGCGGUGAAAUGCGCAGAUAUCAGGAGGAACACCGGUGGCGAAGGCGGUUCUCUGGGCCUGUACUGACGCUGAGGAACGAAAGCUAGGGGAGCAAACGGG